rnacentral:sRNA from 1 species
CUUCUUCGGCCUGCUGCGGCGCGAUGAAGUGGAUGUGCGUGUCGAUGCCGCCGGCGGUGAGGAUCUUGCCCUCGCCGGCGAUGACGUCGGUACCCGGGCCGAUGAUGAUGUCGACGCCCGGCUGGAUGUCGGGAUUGCCCGACUUGCCGAUGCCGGAGAUGCGACCGUCCUUGACGCCGACAUCGGCUUUGAUGAUGCCCCAGUGGUCGAGGAUGACCACGUUGGUGAUCACCAGGUCGGCGACCUCGGCGGCGUUCCUCUGGCCCUGGCCCAUGCCGUCGCGGAUG